GAAAGGUCUAGGCAGCUGCCCCCAGACACAGUUUACUCCUCUGAGACAAAGAUCAUAUGUAGACCAGGCUGCAUGGCCUGAAGGGCAGAGAGAUUGGUGUGGUGUGUAGCCAUGCUGGAGUGUGUUGGCCAUACCAUUCUCUGCUAUCAUGGCGCUUGUUUGAUUGUUUGAUUGAUUGAUUGAUUGAUCGAUUGACUGAUUGAGUUUUGCUCCCAGGAGGGAGCACAAGAUAGUGAUCUGUUUGGAAAGCUUUCCUACGUGCCUUGUUUACCAUACCUCUGCACUACCGACAGCACUUCUGCCCCUAGGCACACACCUUACAGAAACGUGUACUUACCCUCUUUAUGAUGCAUGGUCAGAACCACUCAGGGUAACACAGCUCACAAAAGCCAGACUCUGGAAGCAGUGGGUGUGCUCUAAGCCAAAGAGAUCACUAAGCAGUGUCAGGCCUGGCUCGUACCUGUUCGGGAGACCGUUCAUUUAUAACCAUGAAGUGGCUGUAUCGAAGUCCCAGCUGCAUCCAGAUUCAAAGGUGUUUCUGCUUCCAUCUGAAACACCAUUCUUUUCCAGUACGUGGGUCUGCCUGUUGGCUGGGGCUCGUCGGGACUCUGUAGGUGUACACUGGCCUCUGCUGGGAUUGGCUGAGUUCAGAUCCAAAUUGCAGAUCAGUGCCUCGCUCAGCCUCGCUCAGUCCUGCGGCAGACGGGAACGGAGACCCACAGCCAGACGGUAUGCCGAGAAUGUGAGACGUUAGAAUGCUCUUCACUAAGUAAUGUGUCUCCAUGACAUCCCUCCCUCAGAGCUCAGGGGAGCCCCCAGAAGAGGAGAUGAAGCCUGGCAAGUGUGGUGAGGAGAGAUGGCCCAGUAGGAAGAGCUGCAAGCAUGAAGACCAGAGUUUGGAGCCCCUGGACCCAGAAUGAUUCCUACCGGCAUGGCAAAGCCCUGGCAAUUUCAGCAGGUGUGAGGGGAGUCACAUGAUCUCCAGGGGAAGCUGGCUCAUUCUCAAAGGACUAACGAAACCAACACACUCCAAGUUUGUGCCGAAGACUCUGGUUAUUGUGAACUCUGAUGCUAUUCCUACUGUGUGCUCUUAGUCAGUCAACACUGUGCUGGUAUAAUGUCCCCCUUUU